rnacentral:rRNA from 1 species
UACGUAGGGGGCGAGCGUUGUCCGGAUUCAUUGGGCGUAAAGAGCGUGUAGGCGGCUUUGGUAGGUCUUGCGUCAAACCUGAGGCUCAACCUCAGUUCGCGUGGGAAACCACCUAGCUAGAGUCCGGAAGAGGAGAACGGAAUUCCCGAGUGUAGCGGUGAAAUGCGCAGAUAUUGGGAAGAACACCAGUGGCGAAGGCGGUUCUCUGGGACGGUACUGACGCUGAGACGGCGAAAGCGUGGGAGCGAACAGG